ensembl:lncRNA LINC02094 long intergenic non-protein coding RNA 2094
CAUCAAACCACGCCGCGAGCAAGGAAUAAACUUUUACUGCAUGAAGGGGAUGCGACAUCUAGGUCGACUUAGUACACCAUCACCCACCCUACUCUAACACACACAGAAAUGGGUUCUUUGAAAUGGAGUGAUGCUGUAUCAGACAGGCCUUAGUUCUACAGAAUCCAGCUGCUGUGAGGUCCCUGGUGAAGCUGGUGGAAGAGAACCUUCUGUAUGUACCUGGGGAGUGGGCUUAAAAGAAUCCUGUCAACAACCCGCACAUCAACAUGUUUUGGAUGAUGCUACCUGCUCAGCAGGCAUAGUGAAGUGGAGUGCCUUUAAGAUCACUUUUCACUGGGGGAUGGUUUUGUUGAUGACACAACAUUACUAAUCAAGCAAAUGGGAACCAAGGUACAAUAUUAUUUUGUUAGCUAAUUCCCAUAGUCCAGUCAGAUUUUUUUAGCCCCUUUCUUAUUCCAUUUGUCAAUUUCCUUUUGUGAUGCAUAGUUUUGAAAGUAAAUAAAAAUUACUUAUGUUAAAA